GGGAAGGGAAUUGAACUUCGGGAAAAGAGCAUAAGGGAAUAGAAGAAAAAAGAGAAAGAGAAAAUUCAAUUUCAAGAAGAGGACGUAAAGGAACAGAAAGGGGCUUCGGGUUGCAUGCACCCUAGUUUUCUCUACACCUAUACUUUUGUUUUAUUUCAUGAUUUUUAUUUUUUAUUAUUUGAUUAUCAGGUUUUUAUUGCUUAUAACCCCC
rnacentral:lncRNA from 1 species